CGGAUUUCGGGGUGAACUCCGGGGCGGGUCCUGUCAGUAGCGACUUCCUUGGGCUUCGAUCCCCUAAACCUCCGGAGGGGCUGUAUGGACUGAAGAGUGUCUGACAUCCUUUGAAGUGUGGCACUGCUUCUAGGUGAUACGACGUACUGUGUAUGAAGACGGGAUAGCUGGACGACGCUGGGUGUGGCUUAGUUACAUUAUAUUUCAAAUUAUUUCAUCGACGGAGUUAGAUCCGCAUGACAGCGGGUUCUUAGGAUUUGAGUUAAGAAUCUUAGCUUGAGUUCUAGGAAUCCAUAGCACUGUAACGUACUCGCUUUGAUGA